rnacentral:rRNA from 1 species
CCUACGGGGUGCUGCAGUGAGGAAUAUUGGUCAAUGGACGAGAGUCUGAACCAGCCAAGUAGCGUGAAGGAUGACUGCCCUAUGGGUUGUAAACUUCUUUUAUAUGGGAAUAAAACGUUCCACGUGUGGGAUUUUGUAUGUACCAUAUGAAUAAGGAUCGGCUAACUCCGUGCCAGCAGCCGCGGUAAUACGGAGGAUCCGAGUGUUAUCCGGAUUUAUUGGGUUUAAAGGGAGCGUAGGUGGAUUGUUAAGUCAGUUGUGAAAGUUUGCGGCUCAACCGUAAAAUUGCAGUUGAAACUGGCAGUCUUGAGUACAGUAGAGGUGGGCGGAAUUCGUGGUGUAGCGGUGAAAUGCUUAGAUAUCACGAAGAACUCCGAUUGCGAAGGCAGUUCACUGGACUGCAACUGACACUGAGGCUCGAAAGUGUGGGUAUCAAACAGGAUUAGAUACCCGGGUAGUC